rnacentral:rRNA from 1 species
GAGUACACCAUGUUGGCUACCGGUAAAAACGACCUUGGCAGUGUCGUUUUUCGAUGUAGGUCGUGAUGGCCGCUACCUCUACUGUAGGAGACCACGACGUAGGUCGCUUAAAAAACGACGUUGGUCGGCCGCUUUUUCAACGUAGGUGUGGUUGAUCACCACCUUAGUCUGCUGGUCCAAGACAUCCUUCGUGUUCUUUCACCCAUACUUUCGAUACUCUGCUACCGGUUAUGUCUAUAACUGUCCCGACCUUCAGGCCUCGGUUGCUUAUAUGUAUCGCUGAAUUUCACACUGUUAUAUAAGUAUUUAUCAGGACUACCUUGUCACUUCUUACCGCUGAUAUACCAGACCGCUGUAAUAACGUAGUUACCUUUUUCGUUUCACAGUUUCCGCGUAAUCUGAAAUACCGUGGUCUUGCGAAGUGACCGUUAAUGUUACUCAACCCAUAAGGUUGGGGGAACGACUUGGGACACGAUAAGCGUCGGAGAAGACAGUUAGGUCGUCGUGUGGCGACGGGAAGCGUAGGAGGGACGUAGUGACGCUGACCCGGCACGAGUGUAACAGGCGACAGUGUACGCGUUAGAGACGUGAGCUGCGACGGAGGUGGCUCUAAGUAACGUUCCAGACAAGCAUCGGUGCCAAGAACGAGGCAUGGUAACAACUACGAGGACAAUUUCCUCGUAGUCAAAAUGCGUACGAAGGACCCAGGAACCACUCUCCGGAGACACUACAAUAAGAAAAUCCAUUCGAAAUGAGUCCAACGAUGAGUACAGUGUCACAGACAUUAAAUCGGUCUCAGUCCAAGUCUCAACAACUGACUUAAAAAACCCGUGUUGGUAGUUCGUUGGACUCAUUUCGAAUGGAUUCGGUUACUAAAACAAGAUAAUCGAUCUCGGUCCAAGUCUAAACAAGUGAGACCUAAAAAACCCGUGUUGGUAGUUCGUUCGAUCCUGCAUAACAAAUUGACUUCGUUUCCCGUCCAUUCGAUACUUACGAAGUAAGAAGCAAGACUUGUUUACGUCGAUGAUAAACAUAAACUAGACUCGUUUCCACGUUGGUUAACUUCAAUAAAACUUCUUGGACGUGGACUCAGAUAUACAAGACUAAAAUAUCGGACGUCUCAGACAUCUCAUUUCAAACAUGUAAAACACUUAGCGAAACAAGGCCAAAGGGGACCACCAGAUAUGACAUAGUCCAAUAAAUGAUACACGUCUAAACAAACACGGUAACGGCUAGUACAUGAAGAAAGACACGAACCUUCGUAUCAGAGUAGCAUAGGGGAUCUAGACAUAUUCAUAUAAAUCGAGUGUAUGUGAACCGUAAACAAGAAGUUUUCCGCGGUGAGGCACAGGAGAGCGGGACGUGCUAGAAGGGAUUUCCGGUGCUCUAGUUGUAGUUUCUCGACACACCUGAAAUUCUACAGGAGCUACGACCUGAGGACCAUUGUCAAAUAAUGUACAAUAAAGAAAAAGAAAAAACCACUCAGAAAAGAACUCUAAAUCCUAAUACCUCAAUUGCCCACAAUGAAAACUGGACGAUUAUGGAGACGCAAUUUGAAAAACGAGAAGCUUUCGUUGAUACAUUCAGACUGCGAUUGUAUUACAAAUGACGAUAUUAUGAAGUCAAAUUGAAUCUCAGUCCUUGUGUUCAUCUUAAAGUAUCUUUAGACAGAUCGAGGACAUCUACUUUCUGAAGGACGUUCACUCGAGAACUUAUUGAGAAUGGAGGUCCUUCUACUCCAGAUAAGGUCGCGGAGGUUAAAAUCAGAGAGACCAGAGUUCACACUGACUUCUACCCACCGUUAGACGUUCAAAGCACGAAACCUUCCCACUUAAGAAUGACUUUUUGGUAUACGUAGAAUGCUGGUAUAAUUAAAUCACGAUUCCAAAGGAGUAUGGUCACCAUUUAUAUCGUGACUUCUUUGAAAAUUUAGUUUGAAAUGAAGUCAGAUAUUACUGUGAUGCUUAAUAACGUCCGACAAAUUUCUUACGACUCAACAGUUCGCUCCACGACGUCACCGACCGCAACGGCCCGUACCCUGCUGCAGGGAUCCGAGGACGGACUCCGUUCGGAGAGACCGGAGGAGCCUACGGGAGAUCCUUGACCGUGACGCAUACUACCGGAGGAGUGGAUCGUGGAUCCAACUGGAUCGGUGGCGGUAGCUUCGCCUCUCAACUGUUGUAUACAUACUAACAACCUGCACAGUCAGGACGAGUCAGGACGGUAACCGUACAAGUUUUGAUACUUAACUCACUGAUGUUUAUACCAAACUAGUUACUUUACUUU